rnacentral:ncRNA from 1 species
GAAACCUCAUCUUGCUCGCCGCCAUCCGGGCGCCAGGGCAGUGUUUUUUGUAAAACACGAACAGUUCCGCUCGGAUGAGGAGAGAGU